AGCUGCGGCUUUAACUGCUUGUCCACCAAGCAAUUUUAGGGCUUCUAGGCAUGCAUUGCGCUGCAAUCUACUACUGUCGACUUCUGAUCUUGAGAGGUUGGAACUGCCUAUGCGAUUCCAGCUAUUUUGCGAAACUCAUGGCCAUAAAUACUUUAGAUUGGUGUCGAGAGGAAGAAGUUGGUUUGUGCGGUAUGUUGCUGGGCACUUUGUUGGUUCUGGUUGGAAAUUAUUCAUUGACGAACACAAGCUUGAGAGCUCUGACAUGUUGGUGCUGAGUCCUGAUAUCAACCUCCAAUUGUAUACCAUGGUUUUCAGUGUGAAUGGUUGCGAGCGUAUCUAUUGGUGGUACUAAUGCUAAUUUCCCCCUCUUUUGACUGCUGACUUGUAUUUAGAUUUGGACUGGCCAGUUCAGUGGAAUUCUAGGAUUAACUAUGUAGGAAAGAUGAGCCUAUAUGUUGUUCAUUUGUAAGUACAAGUUUCAACUAGAAAGGUCCAGUACUCUGGUUUACCUUCAUUUUGUAGAGUUCCUUACAAUGACAAUGGCUCACAGCUUUUUGAAAAAGCCAUUUUUGUAUUGCCAAAUCUGAUUGUAAAGUGUGCCAAGAACACACUGACUUUGUAAAUGGCAAUGAAGUUGCAGCUUGUUGUGUUUAA